CAUACAUGUAGGCCUCAUUAGCUUUUAAUGCAAAACUGCGUCCGCAAGCCAUUCUAGAAAGGGCAGAUUCCUCAGAUUCGACAUGUAGUCAGAGAACUGAAUCCAGGAAAAUGAGGGAGUAUGAAAUUCUCUUCUGAAGCCCAGCCACAUGACCAAGCCACUGAUGAAACAGCAAGCCCAGUGAGGAAGGCUGUUACUGCUAGAAAGAAAUUACUUUCACAGCUUGAAUCCGAGGUCCUAUGAGAGCUGCCUCAAAGAGGAAGGUAUUAAGGAGGGCACAUAUUACAUGGAGCGCUGGGUGUUAUACACAAACAAUGAAUCAUGGAACACUACAUCAAAAACUAAUGAGAAGCUUCGAUGCCACCCUCAGUUUCCAGAUUGGCCAGGAAGAUGGAAUGGGCAAAUCCAUUAGUAUGGGCCCCUCAGCCCAGAAGUGACCUCCACACCAGCUGUCCUGACCUGGAUUCAACCCUGCAGAGGUUAUGAAAACACUCUGUGACUAACCACUAACUUUGUUCCAAAGAAGAAGCCCAAGAAAUUUCUAAACUCACAGUCCCAAGAAGACUAGACACCCCAGAACUAUCUCAAAACCUAGGGGGAAUGAUGGUUGGGUUUAAGGGAAUCCUUGAAACCCCUAAAAUUAUAAACAUGUAUAAUUGACCAAAAUAAAAUGCCAUUUAAUAUCAUAAAUACUUUAUAAAGAAAGUGAAGGUAAUGAAGCAUUUUGGUGGGUGGGUUUGAGCAUGCAAAGGUAGGCCUGGAGCAGAGUUUGGGAGCUGACGCAGGAGAGAGCUGGAUUCUACUACACUGAAUGAAAGAACUUGGGAGAUUUCGAGACAACUGGGGAAUUAGAGGGUGAGUAAGAAAGGGUGGAAGGUGGAAACAAGGAACUAGUGAGAUGCUGUGAGGCUGGGGACCAUGUCAGGCAUAGCAGGAAGAAUCCUAUGUGGGAUGUCUAAAGGACACAUAAGAAUAGGGAAAAAUAGUGCUCCAUAAGAAGCUAUGUGAACCGCUAUGAUAUAUG